UAGGGAAUCUUCGGCAAUGGGGGGAACCCUGACCGAGCAACGCCGCGUGAGUGAAGAAGGUUUUCGGAUCGUAAAGCUCUGUUGUUAAGGAAGAACGAGUGUGAGAAUGGAAAGUUCAUACUGUGACGGUACUUAACCAGAAAGGGACGGCUAACUACGUGCCAGCAGCCGCGGUAAUACGUAGGUCCCGAGCGUUGUCCGGAUUUAUUGGGCGUAAAGCGAGCGCAGGCGGUUAGAUAAGUCUGAAGUUAAAGGCAGUGGCUCAACCAUUGUAGGCUUUGGAAACUGUUUAACUUGAGUGCAGAAGGGGAGAGUGGAAUUCCAUGUGUAGCGGUGAAAGGCGUAGGUAUAUGGAGGAACACCGGUGGCGAAAGCGGCUCUCUGGUCUGUAACUGACGCUGAGGCUCGAAAGCGUGGGGAGCGAACAGG
rnacentral:rRNA from 1 species